AAACCAACAGGGAUUGCCUUAGUAGCGGCGAGUGAAGCGGCAAAAGCUCAAAUUUGAAAUCUGGCGCCUUCGGUGUCCGAGUUGUAAUUUGAAGAUUGUAACCUUGGGGUUGGCUCUUGUCUAUGUUUCUUGGAACAGGACGUCACAGAGGGUGAGAAUCCCGUGCGAUGAGAUGCCCAAUUCUAUGUAAGGUGCUUUCGAAGAGUCGAGUUGUUUGGGAAUGCAGCUCUAAGUGGGUGGUAAAUUCCAUCUAAAGCUAAAUAUUGGCGAGAGACCGAUAGCGAACAAGUACAGUGAUGGAAAGAUGAAAAGAACUUUGAAAAGAGAGUGAAAAAGUACGUGAAAUUGUUGAAAGGGAAGGGUUUGAGAUCAGACUCGAUAUUUUGUGAGCCUUGCCUUCGUGGCGGGGUGACCCGCAGCUUAUCGGGCCAGCAUCGGUUUGGGCGGUAGGAUAAUGGCGUAGGAAUGUGACUUUACUUCGGUGAAGUGUUAUAGCCUGCGUUGAUGCUGCCUGCCUAGACCGAGGACUGCGA
rnacentral:rRNA from 1 species